UGAUCAUCUUUUUAGAAGGGAAAGCAAAAUUUUCACUGAAAUCUGCCAAGUAGAUUUGUAAUGAGCUUAUCUGACUCACUAAUUAGCUAGUGGCACAGCCUUUCUCUUUGAAAACCUUGCCCCUGCCAUUUUCAUUUUUGUUAUUGUGAAGCAAGCAAAGUAAGCUGACACAGCCAGGAACUGUGUUAUGAUUCGUAAUUGUGGGACUGAGAAUCUAUUUUCAUUGACUGGACAACAGACAGAAAGGGUGACUCUGCAGCUGACUCCCAGGACAGCAUGUAAGAUAUGCGUGGUAUGCAGUAAGCUUUGUAGUCUCCUUCGGGAGAGGAAAAUUCCCUAGAUAAGGACAAAGCUAGGAAAGAAAAGAAGGAACCAACUGAAAAAUCUUACAGCAGUAGAGAACUUCAGAGAAAGCUAAGUGCAGGCAUCCCUUGCGUCACACUGGAAGCAUAAGAGCCUCAGAUGAUGGAUCCACUCCAGAGGCUUUUUUGGGGCAUUCACACCAUUCAGAUUCUGAAUGAAGAGCCAGGAGAUGAAGAAGUGAAAAAAUGGAUCAAUGUUUGCUGACCCAGUAAGUGGAAGAAAAUUUCAGACCAGUCUUUACUGAGUUCCAGCAAUUCCCCUCGUCCUAAAUAGACUCCUCUUUGUUGGAGAGUCCUGGGUGUGGGCUCAGAAAAAAUUUGGAAAGGAAGCAAGUUAAAUGACAACUUUUGUCAACUACAGGCAACAAAGGAAGAAAGAAAAGUACUGUACCAGCAACUCCUGGAGAGCAGGAUACAGAGAGCAAAGCUCUGCCUUCCGCUGCUCCAUGCACACUGUGGUACCUGGGCAACGUCAGGGCAAGCUGCCUGCAUGAUCUUGCACCUUACAGAAAUCCUGUCUCUUCUUGCACACAAGGGAGCACGGAAAGACAGCCAACAAUACUGCAGUGAGUGGAAACCUUCGAUCAUGUGCAGGAGAGAGGCUGGAGGCCUUUGAAAGGUCUUGGCUUUAUAAAGUUGUGGCUCCUGCUCUCUGCCUCGCAAUCCUAGCUGCUGGCAUGUGUAACCAUAACCUUUCAGCUAGAGCUACACUAUAAAAGUCUGCAAUGUAAGCUGCUGAAUGAAUAUGUUUAUCUGUAAACAUCCCUAUUUAGAUACAGAAAUUCUAAUUCUACCUCAGCAUAUACUGUAAAUGUCUGUAAUAUUUAUAAGGCAUUAAAACUCAUGUUUAUGAAAAAAACAUGGGGCACAUGAAUAUAUUUGAUUUCCAAGAGCUGUUAGUUUCUCCUACCUGUGGCACCUGGUACUUAAUAAAUAAAACAUUUCAUCUAACCUCCAAAAUAAUUCAGGACAAAAACAAUCUCAGAACACUGUCACUAAAAACUCUUUUGAGGUUUCAUCUGGUUGGAAAAUUUUGUGAAAUAAGUACGAGAGAUCAUCAUAGUAAGUAAAACCUUUUCCCUAAGCAGGUAAUACUAACAAGCAAAAUAGAAGAAGAAAAGUAGAACUUGGUUAUCAGCCUGUCUGGCUGCUAUUUUAGCUUAAGAGGAAAUGGGUUACAACACUGGUAAUUUCAUUCAAACAUAAGCAGUAACACAGUGAUGGGCUGCUCCUGUCAUGGUCUGUGAUACAUGAAUGUAUCACAGAUGUUUUUCACUGCCACUUGGAUGUCAUUGUUACUUCUUGUCUCCAGCCAUAAUGCAGUCCUAUCUCAUAUUUUUAUUGAUUCCUGGUGACUUUACCUUGGAUUGCCAAACUAGCUUUUUAAAAACUAUUUUAAAUGGACUAAAUAUAUUUGUGUGCAUGUGUUUUCAUAUACUUUUUUUUUAUUAUUAUUAUUUUUUAUGCAGUGCCCAACUUGAAAUAUUCUAAAGUGGGAUGAAAAGCUUUGCUUCUGCUAAUUUUCACGUUUGCUAUUUAGCAGCCUGGGAGAGGAGGGGUGGAUAGUUCCCGUUUUCACGUUUUCGGACAUUUUGAAACAAUCUGCCAGACACAGCACGACCUAGCGGCCAGCACAACGCACAGCAUCAACACGGGGACCUGUAGCGGGAAAAAGUGCCUUAAUUCACCAAGCCUAAAGUUGAGUGUGAGGACACAGCAUCCUGAUGUUGUACGUACAGUACCCGUCUGAAAGCAGGAAGCCCUUGCACACUGCGCCAGUCUGCUGUCCUUCUCCGUGCAUGACACCAAAGGGCCAUGAGACCUGAAGGAGUUCUGGUUCUCUUCCUAAGGGCCAAACCUUGUCCUCCAUCAAAGCCUUGUGAAAGGUCUCAAGCACAGAGGUGCAGCAGGGAGGGAAGGUGGGCACUGAGCACUGAGCUACCCAAGAGGCAGAAGCCACAGUAAGACCUUUCAACUUGCUUUUGGUAACUGAGAAAAAGUUCAAGCAAGAACCACCCUCCUGCUUCUGAAGGAGACAGCCUGCGGGUUCUCUGCCCAGCAGAUUUUUAGCUCCUUGCUCAACAAAACAUAAAAACAGGCUAUGAGCCUGUGUGUUCGUGGUUAUAGCUCUGGUUGGCUGAAUUCAGCUGUACUGGAUGAGUGCAGCUGAAAACAUACUUCACUUUGGAUUUUAUUAACGUCAGCCACGUAACAGAUCAUUGCUCCUCUUCAGCUCCAUGAAGAUGGAGUGGAACAUUAG